CAUCCCCGGGAGACCGUUCCACUAGUCGACAGGUGGGGAACGGAUUCCGCCUCUGACUCUCGCGACUCGGAGGCGGCAACGCAAGCGACGGCUCCUCCUCCCCCGAGCAGACGCCUGCCCACCUCCGGCGACCGGAGCUCCUCCGGCGAACCGAGCGCCUCCAGCGACCGGAGCGAAUCCCUCCCCGACCGCGUCGCCCCAAGCCCCUCCCCGACCGCAUCGCCCCAAGCCCCUCCCUGACCGCAUCGACCUCCGCCUUGAAGAUCUUCUCUGCUCCGGCGAUGACGACGGCGGUCCGUUGAGCAAGAUCCAGAAGCUUGCUACAGAUCAACGAACGGGGAUCAAGAAACGUGAGGAGUGACCUUUUCCAUAAUCAGAUCACGAUGAUAGAUGGUUCAUAUUUGCUAUGAACUUCAGAAGACAUUUAUGACAUUCUCUAGGUCGACAUUUAGUUCAGAGGCUGUGGUGAAGAAGCAGAAACCAAAUUCUAAGAAGAGGAAGCAAAAGGUGAUCUCCCAUUCCUCUUUAUUUGUGGGUAUUGUUCAGAUAGAUAGGUAGUAACUUGGGUUAGUUUCUUGCCUUGAUCUGUAUUCUCUAAAGAUUUUUUUCUUCUUUUUUAGUGAGUUUUCUUUUUCUAGUAUUGUGGUAGUUCUAUCUUCUCAGCUAGUUGUCUAUCUUCUCAUGUUACAAGAACACCAUCUGAUCUUAUAUCAUCUGUGCCAAGAGGUAUGACAUAUAGUAUUUGCUAAAUCUUGUUCAAGUAUGAUAUAUGGUAAUCUAGUUUCAGUUAACAAUAGCUAUUUGGGACUGCUAAGAAACUGCCUAGUGCCCAUUUGGGUUCUUUGAACAAACAUUUGCUGAUUAAUCUGUGAAUUGAAUCUAUUCUAAAUUUUCAGCAGAAACUGUUUUAAACUGUUGCUUAUUUUACCAGUCGAUGUGCCUGAAAAUAUUCUAAACUGUAUUAGUUGCUUAUUUUACAGCAUACCGGUGCAGUUUAUUUGCAACAAAUAUUAUUAAAGGUUGCGACUAAUUGCAGUAUGAUGCUGCACUUGGAUAUAGUAGCUGUUGGCAAUUGCUGAAUUCUUUACACUCUGAACUCCAUGUAUGCUAACACUUUACCAUAAACUUGCUUGCCUAAUUUAUUGUCUCUAGAUCUCAUAGUUGAAAUGAAGAAUUUGUAGCUAGUUGACUGUAUACAAUAUACAAUAUACUGAUACAGUUAUAUCUUGUUCAAGAAUCAUACGUUAGUUGUUUGAAUAAAUUUUAUUGGGACUCAAAUAAGACCACAUAUACUUUUUGUUUUCAAGAGUGAGGUAAUACUUAUCUAAACAAAAUCUUGUUCAUGUUUACUUUCUCGAUGCUCCCUGGCGAAGCCUCUCGGCGAGUAGGAGCACAGCGGCUGGCGACGCGUUUCGGCGAGGAGCACGGCGCCCAGCGAUGCUCUCGACGACCAACAACACGACAAACGGCAAAUGCUCUCGACGAGUAGGAGCACCGUGACGGGUGACGCGCUCGGCAAGCAGGAGCGCGGCGGCCGCCGAAGCUUUCGGCUUACUUUUUGGAGCCACAGUAUAUGAAUUUCUGAAUUUUAGUACCAAUGGAAGCUAUCACAUCUGGAAGCUAUCACAUCUGGAAAUGAAACGCGAACGCGGGCGGCUGCCCACCUGCCGGCGCGAGGAUGUGAGCUCCACCAGGUGGCCCGCUGGCGCCAGGUGAGCUACAGCAGCAGCGGCGCGAGGCGCGGGAGGCCUGUUGGCGCGAGCUGAGGGAGGCCGCCCGCCGGCGUGACACGCGGGAGCUUCACCGGCGGGAAUGUGCGACCGCGUGUAGGAGUCCGUCGGCGCGAGGCGAGGGAGAUCGCUGGCGCCAAGGGAGGAAGGCCACCCGCCAGUGCCAAGGGAGGAAGGCCGCCCGCCGGCGCGAGGCGCAGGAACUCCACCGGCGCGAGAAGCGCAGGAAUCCGCCAGAGCCAAGGGAGGGAGGCCGCCCGCCGGCGCGAGGCGCGGGAGCUCCACUGUUGCAUACUUAUGUUGUUGUGGUUGAAUAUGUUGUGUAUUUCGAAUUAUGAGUAUUCAUUGAAAUUUCUGUAUUAAUUUCUA